GAUGAAGAACGCAGUGAAAUGCGAUAAUUAAUGUGAAUUGCAGAAUUCAGUGAAUCAUCGAGUCUUUGAACGCACAUUGCGCCCCCUGGUAUUCCGGGGGGCAUACCUGUCCGAGCGUCAUUGCUGCCCUCAAGCACGGCUUGUGUGUUGGGCUUCCGUCCCUGGCAACGGGGACGGGCCCAAAAGGCAGUGGCGGCACCAUGUCUGGUCCUCGAGCGUAUGGGGCUUUGUCACCCGCUCCCGUAGGUCCAGCUGGCAGCUAGCCUCGCAACCAAUCUUUUUAACCAGGUUGACCUCGGAUCAGGUAGGGAUACCCGCUGAACUUAAGCAUAUCAAUAAGCGGAGGA
rnacentral:misc_RNA from 1 species